GUUCUCACACAGAUGGCAAAGUCUGUGGCCGGUAAAAAGGUCUUCCUCAUUAAUUACUUCACUCUUCAAGUCCUUCACUGCAGAUGUCUCUGUGCACAAACCAGGAGACAUUGACUUUCACUUCCCCUAGACAUGCUGACUCCUGCCUGCCAGAGUGAUUCAGCAGCUUGCCACUCACUUUUACAGAAGGAAAGUUUUCUCCUGGCUCCUUUCACUGGCUUGGUGUGACAUUGGCUGCAAUCGAGGGACGUAUUAGUGUGGCUGGUUGACUCUUCACACCGACUUGGUGCUGAGCAGCUGGGCAGCUCUGAGCCCUCUGUCUAGCUGGUAGCUCUGUCCCUUAUACAGGGAAGAAGAUCCCCGUGGAGAGCAUCAGGGUGCUCUGCCCCUCUGCCUUUUCCUUUUCCAGGAAGCACCUGCAUUGCUGCAUUUACCAAGAGCAAGAGUAUUUCUUCUGUUUCUGCAGAGAGAUUUAAAAGAAGAAACUUGGCCAGUUCAUAUGCUACUGAAGGUAUCAGCAGAAUUUUAAUAGGUGAGAUAAACAU